rnacentral:tRNA from 1 species
AUGUAGCCAAGUGGAUCAAGGCAGUGGAUUGUGAAUCCACCAUGCGC